CGUCGCAUCGGUCCUCUCGAGCUCCUUGGGUUACACAUGGAUGCUCUUCUCCCCAAAAGUUCCAUCGGUUCUAUUGAGUAGUGGUAGCUUCGAAUGUUGUUUUGUAUAAUAUAUAGAAAUUAGUUUCACUCAGGUAACAGAUAUCGGUAUGGGCAGGAUUAGUUUUUUAGGGGAUGGAGGAGUGCAGAGGCAUAUAUUAUACGAAACAACGUUCAAAGUUACCACUACUAUUGACAAAGAGAACUGGUGGAACUUUUGUCAGGAUGUGUACACGUAAUCUAAAAAGAUCGAGUGCUGAUUGAUGCAAGCUGCCACCGAAGUGACGAUUAUGUGGUUAUACAUGCAGUUCUCUCACGGACGCGCUCAUGUAUACAGAAUUCAGUGGAGUAAUAGCAAAAGUUUGUCGCGAUCAUCUCGGAAACUAAAGCUUCCGUUGACGACGCAUAAAGGAAAAAGUCGUUUAAAAUCAUGCCCCCCGCAUUAUAUUUGAAAAUCAUCAAAACCGGAGAGGACUAAGCAGAUAGAGAACUUCACCUAAUAUUUUUUAUUUUGGUCUUACAUCUACCCAGAAAUGGAUUUGAUCUACAAUAAUUCUCUCUCAUCCUAUCAUAUACACAGAUAUUGGUGGAUAUAGAAUAUUGGAAACAGAACAAGCCAAAAAGAAUUGAAGUUGUUGAAAAACUUAUAUGUAAUAUAUAUAACAUACAUAUCUCCGCGAUCUUACGGAAAUCUAUGCUGGCACUGUAUCUCCAAUUUGAUAUUACGCACAGACUGCUUUCAGGACACAAAGUGAUAUUAUUUGUUAAUUAGGUUUAUGAAGUUUAGGCUAAUGAAGGAAAGGUGCAAAUACAUAAAGAUUACCUUCUACUAGUAUGUAAACACUACCUAUAUUGCAAUUUCUACAAGAUAUUCUCUUAGGAGGAAUGUAAACACACAAAUAGUCAGAGACAAAAUUAUAGCACACUCAAGGUUUAUUGUGAUUUUCUUCAGUCUGUCACGAGGUUUAAGGAAGUUAAAGUGGUCAGUCAGUGUUCAGUGCUUCCUGACAUUGGUAUCUGUCACAUUACGUGAUGGGUCGUGGUAAAAGAUUGUCUAACAGUGAAAUAAACGCAAUUCUUAUUUUAAGAAAACAGAAAGUAACAGUGAAAUGAAAUGAAAAGCUGAGUAUAACGUAUUAAAAGACGUGGAUAACUACGGUAAAAGGAAAAGCACUGGAAGGCCAGCAAUCCUAUCACACCGUGACACGAUAGCAAUACUUCGUGGAGCAUCAAAUUCUUGUGCUACUGCAAGAGAAAUUGCUUGUAAAGCUGGUGUACAUACUAAUAUUCAAAAUGUUCAAACGUUGAAUUUGCGAAAAAACACAUACUGAAGGAAAACCUAUAAUAUAAUCUUUAGAAAUGAAAAACGGUUUUGUCUGGAUGGUCCAGAUAGUAGUGCAUACUAUUAUCAUGACAUUCAGAAAGGACAAUUAACAAAAAUUAGACGACAAAUGAAAGGAGGUGGAACAAUGAUUUAGGCCGGCAUAUGUUACAAAGGGAAAACGGAUAUUAAUUUUAUACAAGGAAAAAUGAAUAGUGCAAGUUAUUUGAAAUUAAUUAAAAACCAAAUUGAUAAGUAUGCACAAUGCAUUGCAGUAUGGCCGGCCUGUUCUCCGAAUCUCAACAUAAUUGAAAACUGUUGGGGAUUAUUAUCAAAAGCUGUCUACGCAGAAGGUAGACAAUUUGAAAAUUUAAAUGAUUUAAAUAUCUGUAUUAAAGGGGAAUGGAAAAAUUUAUUACUAUGUUCGAUUGAAGUAUUGUAUAAAUCCU